UACGUAGGGGGCAAGCGUUGUCCGGAUUUAUUGGGCGUAAAGAGCGUGUAGGCGGUUUGGUAGGUCCGUUGUGAAAACUCGAGGCUCAACCUCGAGACGCCGGCGGAAACCAUCAGGCUAGAGUCCGGAAGAGGAGAGUGGAAUUCCUGGUGUAGCGGUGAAAUGCGUAGAUAUCGUGAGGAAGACCAGUGGCGAAGGCGGGUCUCUGGACAGUUCCUGACGCUGAGGCGCGAAGGCCAGGGGAGCAAACGGG
rnacentral:rRNA from 1 species